GCCACCCAAGAGUGUGGAGGAUCCGGCCAUGGAUUCCAGCAAACUCAAAGCCAUGAACUUCCAGCUCGCGCUCUACAUCGCCAUGGCUCACGCGGGAUUGCUGCUGCUCAUCCUCACUCUCUACGGCCUGGGACUGCUGCUCAAGGAUUUCUGGAAGCCAAUCCAGUGGGCCGUGCUGUGCUCCAUUACGCUGCGAGAGAUCCAGGGAAGUCUAGUGCGCUUCUGGGAGGCUCCACUCCGCCAGGGACUCAUCCAAACGCUGCUCGCCAUCCCGCUCGCGGUUUGCAAGGGUCUAGCUGGAACAAUCGAGGAUUUGCGAGCGACCAUCCUCUGGAUCCUGGCGAGGCACGAGGCCUUCCCUCUCAAGGUUGGAUUCUCCAAGCUCCUUCAGUGGUUGCUAGCUUUCGCGGUGGUAACUCUCGGCUAUGACAAGCUCGGCGUCGCGUCGCUGGCCACGGCCAUCGCCACUGGCUUGGCUGCCUACGCUGGAGCUUCCAGGCUUGGAGCUUUCGCGCCGCCACCAUCGCCACCAUCCCCGCCAACUUCUUCGGUGGCCAUGGACGUGAAGAGAUCAUCCAGGCAGCAAAGAACUGUGACGAGGAAGUGGCUUGGCUGGGCGUCCUGGCCGAUCAUCCGGGCCUCGAGAGCUCUUAACAGGCACGCCACGGCAUUCCUGGCGGCCAGGCUUCCAACCAUCGUGGCAAUCGGGCUUAUCAUGCUCAUGAUCCUCGUCUCGGUGGCCGGGCUGGUCCUCUUCUCCUACAAGGCCGGCCUCGAGGCCCGGGACGCGGCGGUGGCGCUCAAGAUCCACGUACAGCGCCACAACUACACGGAGAUGGUCGGCCUCCGCCAGUGGCUCGAGCACAGCAACGUGACGGUGGCGAUUGAGCAGCACUCCUCCGCAGCCUACGAGUUGGUGUCCCAGCACAUCGAUGCCUUCGGCGUCCAGUACAACCUCACCGAGUUCACGGACGCCGGGAAGGAGUUCCUCGUCAACUUUGCUCGCGGACGCCGCCAGGCGAGCGGCGCCGCUACUAUCGCCGCCGCCAACGUUACCACCACCACCACCUCCUCGCAUCCAGUGCUCAUCCGGCUCCACCGUGCCAGGAGCUUGCUCCGGGACUACGAUCUCAAGGCACUCUACUCGGAGCUGGAGGCCGUGUUCUCGCUGCUGCUCGACCACCUCCAGCUCAAGCCCGAGGACGUGAGAGAUCGGAUGAAGCAAGUGAGCGAGACUGGGGCGGAGAUCGGCAAGAGAGUCCUCCUCGGCGGCUCUCACGUCGUCUAUGGUGGAACCUCCAUCGCCAUGGCCGUGGGGAGCUCCAUCGCUUCCGGUGCCGCGGGGAUCUUCCACUUUCUCACGCAGGCCGCGGUGUUCUUCUCGCUGCUCUACUAUCUCAUCACGUCCCAGUCGGGCGGGGUGGUGGAACAGGUGCUCGGGAUGAUUCCACUCUCGGAGACUGCGCGGAUACGAUCGGCCACCGUGCUCAACCGCGCUGUGAGCAGCGUCCUCCUGGCCACCGUCAAGUCGGCCUUCUACCAGGCCGCAUUUACGUGGUUGCUCUUCCGGGCUUUCGGCAUCCAUUUUCUCUACGUGUCGACGCUCCUGGCGAUCGUCACCGCGGUGCUGCCGGUGUUUCCGCUGGGCGUUGCUUCCAUCCCGGCGGCUGCGCAGCUCGUCGUACAGGGUGACUACCUUGCCGCGGUGGUGCUCGGAGUUGUUCAUUGUCUGGUGCUUGACUUUGGCAACCGGGCGAUACAGGAUGAGAUCCCGGGACACAAUGCUUACUUGACGGGGCUCAGCAUUGCUGGCGGGAUGGCACUCUUCUCUCCAGCGCUCGAGGGGGCGAUCAUGGGGCCGCUCUUGAUGACUGUUCUCACUGCUCUCAAGAAUCUGUACUGCGAGUUUAUCCUCCACGCGGAAAGAGUCGCUUUGUAAAUCUCGGACGCUUGCUCUUCAGCUGAAUUAGAACCCAUUUCUACGUGCCGCGGAGUUCAAACGAACAAUACCGAAGAGCUCGAGCAAAAGACGAAUUUCGAGACUCACGAACUUGUCGAGUGCCUCGACUCUCAUACAAACUGUCACGUCCACGCCAUUUCCAUCCGCGGCCGGGAACAAGUAGAGCAUGAAUUCGUCCAGGUCAUUCGUCCCGAAAGUCACCCCGACCGGCCCAAAGUCACACUCGAACAUGGGGUCCCGGGCUUGCGCGCCAUUAUUCUUCGUUUGGUGAACUCCACGAUAAGUUUCUUCGAAGAAAACAAUGCCGGAAACGCAGCGGCUGCUUUGAUGGCACGGUUGGCUCCUCAGUGCAAGGCUCUAAGGGACGAGAAAUGGAAAGAAAUGGAAGCGAAGUUCUUCACUCCUGGUGACAUCAUAGCCAUAAAGUUUGGAGACAUCAUCCCUGCAGAUCCUCGCCUGCUCGAAGGAGACUCCUUGAAGAUUAAUCAGUCUACUUUAACUGGCGAGUCAAAUUUUCAAAGUCUUCGCAAGGAAACAAAGAGAUC